CAAGUCGAGCGGAAACGAGUUAUCUGAACCUUCGGGGAACGAUAACGGCGUCGAGCGGCGGACGGGUGAGUAAUGCCUAGGAAAUUGCCCUGAUGUGGGGGAUAACCAUUGGAAACGAUGGCUAAUACCGCAUAACACCUUCGGGUCAAAGAGGGGGACCUUCGGGCCUCUCGCGUCAGGAUAUGCCUAGGUGGGAUUAGCUAGUUGGUGAGGUAAUGGCUCACCAAGGCGACGAUCCCUAGCUGGUCUGAGAGGAUGAUCAGCCACACUGGAACUGAGACACGGUCCAGACUCCUACGGGAGGCAGCAGUGGGGAAUAUUGCACAAUGGGCGCAAGCCUGAUGCAGCCAUGCCGCGUGUGUGAAGAAGGCCUUCGGGUUGUAAAGCACUUUCAGUCGUGAGGAAGGUAGUGUAGUUAAUAGCUGCAUUAUUUGACGUUAGCGACAGAAGAAGCACCGGCUAACUCCGUGCCAGC
rnacentral:rRNA from 1 species